rnacentral:tRNA from 1 species
GCUGGUCUGGUGUAGUAGCAUGUUGGUUUUUCGUGCCUGAGGAGGCCUUUGGCCGAUUAGCU